GCUUCCAUAGCUCAGUUGGUUAGAGCACUCCAUUCGUAAUGGAGAGGUCGGGUGUUCGAAUCUCCCUGGAAGCU
rnacentral:tRNA from 1 species